rnacentral:rRNA from 1 species
GACGAACGCUGGCGGCGCGCUUAACACAUGCAAGUCGAGCGGUAAGGCCCUUUCGGGGGUACACGAGCGGCGAACGGGUGAGUAACACGUGGGUGACCUGCCCUUAGCUCUGGGAUAAGCCUGGGAAACUGGGUCUAAUACCGGAUAUGACUCCAUGACGCAUGUUGUGGGGUGGAAAGCCUUGUGCGGCUAGGGAUGGGCCCACGGCCUAUCAGCUUGUUGGUGGGGUGAUGGCCUACCAAGGCGACGACGGGUAGCCGGCCUGAGAGGGCGACCGGCCACACUGGGACUGAGACACGGCCCAGACUCCUACGGGAGGCAGCAGUGGGGAAUCUUGCGCAAUGGGCGAAAGCCUGACGCAGCGACGCCGCGUGGGGAUGACGGCCUCGG